CCCUUAGAUGUUCUGGGCCGCACGCGCGCUACACUGAUUCAUGCAACAAGUUUUGUCUUUGGCUGAUAGGCCUGGGUAAUCUUUGAACGUGAAUCGUGAUGGGGAUAGAUGAUUGCAAUUAUUCAUCUUCAACGAGGAAUUCCUAGUAAACGCAAGUCAUCAGCUUGCAUUGAUUACGUCCCUGCCCUUUGUACACACCGCCCGUCGCACCUACCGAUUGAAUGGUCCGGUGAAAUCUUCGGAUCUGAGAGAUGUCUGAUUAAUUUCGGACGCCUUUUGGAAAAGUUGCUUAAACCUUACCAUUUAGAGGAAGGUGAAGUCGUAACA
rnacentral:rRNA from 1 species